rnacentral:rRNA from 1 species
UACAGAGGUCUCAACCGUUGUUCGGAUUCAUUGGGCGUAAAGGGUGCGUAGGCGGUCGCGUAAGUCAGGUGUGAAAUCCCGGGGCUCAACCCGGGAAGUGCAUUCGAUACUGCGUAGCUAGAGUACUGGAGAGGAUGGUGGAACUCUCGGUGUAGAGGUGAAAUUCGUAGAUAUCGAGAAGAACACCGGUGGCGAAGGCGGCCAUCUGGACAGAUACUGACGCUGAGACGCGAAAGCGUGGGGAGCAAACAGG